AGCGAACGCUGGCGGCAGGCCUAACACAUGCAAGUCGAACGAAGUCUUAGGACCUAGUGGCGGACUGGGGAGUAACACGUGGGAACGUGCCUUUAGGUUCGGAAUAACCCAGGGAAACUUGUGCUAACACCGAAUGUGCCCUUCGGGGGAAAGAUUUAUCGCCUUUAGAGCGGCCCGCGUCUGAUUAGCUAGUUGGUGAGGUAAAGGCUCACCAAGGCUACGAUCAGUAGCUGGUCUGAGAGGAUGACCAGCCACAUUGGGACUGGGACACGGCCCAAACUCCUACGGGAGGCAGCAGUGGGGAAUCUUGCGCAAUGGGCGAAAGCCUGACGCAGCCAUGCCGCGUGGAUGAUGAAGGUCUUAGGAUUGUAAAAUCCUUUCACCGGUGAAGAUAACGACUGUAGCCGGAGAAGAAGCCCCGGCUAACUUCGUGCCAGCCGCCGCAGUAACAC
rnacentral:rRNA from 1 species